UCCAUUCCUCCAACUUUUUAUAGUGCUCGGAUCUUCCAAGAUUUACAUAGUCUGUGUUCCCCGAUUUCAUAUAGUAUUCCGCUAUGUCGAGUGGUUCGACCAUCCUUCUAUAGUUUGUCCCUGCAUACAGCCAACGAGUACGAAAAGCUGUCUCCUCUCUUUGUGGCAUUUUCUCUACUUCUGCAACCAUUGUUUUCCAGUACCUAGUGAGGAUUCUUUGGUGCUUGACAAUUUCUUGUCUGCUUUUGACAGCAUCCCUGCCUCGAUACUCACUGCGUUUAAAACUAUCAUAGUAGCCUCCUUCUUUCAGGGUUACUUUCUUGUACCACUCUAGCCAUGCCAUAGCUUCUUUCAUUUUGUUUAGCUUCUUGCCAGGAUCAAAGGCAUCCUUCUUCUUGUCGAAAGAUUCUUUCACUCUUUGCUUCACUUCAGUCCUUAGAGGGUUCAUGUUACUUGACUGCUGCCAUGACAAUUAUAUGCAUUAUAGAAGUUAGAAAUACAGGUUUAGAAACAUGUUCUAUAAGUUUUACGAAUGUUAUCUGUAUUGAUUUCCUAUUCAUUCAAACUUUAGCUAAAGAAAGGGAAACUAUACUUGCUUUCAUUUUAGGAGUAAGAGUUUGUUUUACCUGUCCACCAAUUCCGAUUGCUUCUAGCUGUAGAUCAAUGCCUGCUUGAAGUUGAUCCACGCUAUAGUGAAACAGCUGAGAAGUACCCUUAAAGAUUACUCUAUGCUUGAGGAGUUCCAAAACCUGUUCAUAGUCGAAAGCCAAGAAACGAUUGUCCUGGUGUUGGCUAUUUAAGUUCAUUUCCAUCAUAAUAUCCAAAACUGACUCAGGCUCCUCAAAACAGGAGCAGUCUGAAUCUGAGCACAGCAGAAACAUGCCGAAUGGAUUGUAAAUACAAGAUUGAGGAAUAGAACCAGCAAAGGCAUUAGUUGGUGAAAUUAAAGAUCUUAGGAUUGGAUCAUGGUUCGAGACUACGUGCAAGAAGCUUGAAUUCCAUGAUGGACGUUCUGAUAUGGCUUGUUGCCGGCCACUAUCACCAAGAAGAGGUGAACCAAAAGUGAUGCAAGUAGGACGCUUAUUAUUGUCCUUAAGUAGCCAGAGAGUGAAAAGAGAUGCCACAGAACCUCCCAAAGAAACUCCAGUGAUUAUUAGAGGACUGACAUUGCCCAACUGCAGUCAAUCAGAAUGAACAAAACAGAAACAUGAAUAUAUGAACAACAAGGCUCCUGAAAAUCAAUGCUUCAGAAGGAAGUAAGUUUUGGUUUCGUAACAGAGUUUCAAGUAUUCUAUCAUGUCAAAUUUCCAGCAUUACCAUGCUAACAUCAGUCAAGGUAUUCGAGAUUUUUCUUUUGCUGUUUGUUUACAGAAAUAACUGCACAAUUACAACAAAGUUUAUAGGCGAAUUUAUACUAAUAAAAGGACACAUUUCUUAUUUGGCAACUAAAAAGAAGCUCAGGAUUUGUAAAUUCAAAAAGAGAUUUCUUCUUUAGCACCAGAAUCUAACCAAUCUAAAUGUACCACUCAGUUAGGUUAACUUAAUGUAUUGACAGUUGAAACCACAUAAUGCUUCAUUUUAUACUAUCCAUCUCUCUUUAUUUCUUGGAGAUAUUAUGGUCAAUAAUUCCCAUGUCAAGACAAAAUAACUAAAAUAUUCCCUUUGUUUCAAUUUCCUUGUCUUGCGUUUCUUUUUAGUUCGUUUAAAAAAGAAUCAAUGAUUAAAUUUUUUUGGCAACUCUUUGCUUCUAGUUUUCUACCUAACAUGUCUAUGAUUAUAACAUUAAACGAUACCUUUUACGUAACUUUAGUUUAAGACUACAAAAUAAAAAAGUUUCUUUGCAUUUUAAAGUUUUGUACCAAGUUAAAACCAGACAAACAAAUUAAAACGGAAAAAGUAAUAUCUAGCACAAGUAAGGAAAGCUCAAGAGAAAUCACAAAUUUUGCAGAGAAACAAAAGAAUAUUAUAGUACCUGUUCUUUGAGGGCAGAGAGCUCAUUCAGUAAUGACUCAAAAAGGGUUAUUGCUGCUUUGUUAACUGAGAAAUGAGGGUUGAAUUUGGUAGAAAUGAAGUCAAAAGGAGAUUGAGAACCUUCCAGAUCUUCUGAAGAGACCAUUUCUUUCUGAAGAGUACAAGUAGGAGAGGAUACAAAAGCAACAAUAGCACCAUUUGAAUGAUAUGGGUAAACUUUAACCAAAAUUGGAUUAUUCAAAUAAGGAUGAUUCCUAAGGUCAGAGAUUGUAAACCAAGAAUGAAGAAGUAGAUCUGAGCUCACCAACAAAUUUGCAAAUUCUUGGCCACUACUAAACCUGUAGAACAAAAAAAUGAAAAAUUGGGUCAUGUAAAACAAUACAAUCUUGAACAAUAAAGCAAAAAGAUUUGAACUUUUUGUAGUAUAUGCCAUAAAAGAAUAAAAAUUGCCACUCACAUGGAAACUUGGCUCAUCUUGGCCUUUGGAGAAUUUGACAUAUUCCUGAAGGCCUAGCUAACAUCUAAUAUAAAUAAGCAUAGCAGUAGAAGAUAUUGCACAAGAAGUUAAAAUACAAGUUUGACAAAUGAGGCAAAAAAAGGGUUGGCAAAUGAGAAAGGAAUGAGGAAAGUAGAUGUAAAGGACAAGAAGAAAAUGCCCAGAAAUUGAAGGAGAAGAAGGGAAUGGUGGUUUACUUUUUGAUUUUUCUUGACUCUCAAGUCUACUAGUAUAACUAAUACUCCCUUAGUUUCAAUUUACGUGACACAGUUUGACAUGAAACAAGAUUAAAGAAAUUUUAGUCAUAUGGAACUAAGGAUACACAUGAGUACUCGUAAGUAGGAAUAGUUUAGUUUAUUAACUAUCUAAAUUUUCGAUUUGUUGGACAGGAUUUUAUUUCCACUUUGUAUUUCUCUCGCCCCCACACCCCCUGUUUCCUCCUCCCUCCCAAUAAAAAAGAAAAGAAAAGAGAGAGUAGUCGUAAUCGGUUAAACUUCUGAGAGGUUUCUAACUCAGCUUUAGUUUAAUCAUCUUCCAUUCUUGAAGACUUUUUUUCUUCUGCAAGUUGAACAAGUCGAGUCUAUACUAUUAAAUUAAUGCCUAGUGUACUAUACAGACAUGAAUUUGAAAAUUUUGGGAGGGGUUGGUGGGACUAAGAGGAUGAUUCCAUGAUAUUUAAUUUUAAAUAUGCAGGCACUAGCUUUAUUAUAGGCAUAAUACAAAUUGGACCCUAAACUUGGCUUCAAAUUUUAAGUAUGACCUCUAACUUUCAUAGUGCAUAAGUAGGCACUUUAACUAUCCAAUUCUUAAACAAAAAAUACGCGAAUCCAACAGCCAAAUUGUGUGAUAUACAAACGCUCCAACGUGGCUUAUUGAGCCACUCAGUGGCUGCCACGUAAUUAAAAAAUUACACGUAUUUUAUAAUUAAAAAAAGAAAUUAAAAUACAAAAGGGUAGGGUCGUAUUUUGUUUUCCCAACCCACCCCCUACCAGCCCCUCCACCCCCCAAAAAAAAUUGAAAUUUAUUUUUAAAAAAUAUUUUCAACUUCAAAAUUUCUUUUUUUUCACCCCUACCUCGACCCGCCCCACCCAGCAAACAUCUAAUACAAUAAGCAUAGCAGUAGAAGAUACUGCACAAGAAGUUAAAAUACAAGUUUGACAAAUGAGGCAACAAAAAAGGUCGGCAAAUGAGAAAGGAAUGAGGAAAGUAGAUGUAAAGGACAAGAAGAAAAUGCCCAGAAAUUGAAGGAGAAGAAGGGAAUGGUGGUUUACUUUUUGAUUUUUCUUGACUCUCAAGUCUACUAGUAUAACUAAUACUCCCUUAGUUUCAGUUUACGUGACACCGUUUGACAUAACACAAAAUUAAAGAAAUUUUAUAGUCAAUAUGGGACAAAGAGUACACAUGAGUACUCGUAAGUAGGAAUAGUUUAGCUGAUUGACUACCUCAAUUUUCGAUUUGUUGGUGAGAAUUUUAUUUCCACUUUAUAAUCCUCUCGCCCCACACCCCUGUUUCCUCUUCCCUCCCAAUAAAAAUGAAAAUAAAAAAGAGUGAGCAGUCGUAAUCAGUUAAACUUCUGAGAGGUUUCUAGCAUCAGUUUAAUAUUUUCCAUUUUUGAAGACUUUUUUUCUUCUGCAAGUUGAACAAGUCCUACACUAUUAAAUUAAUGCCUAGUGUACUAUAUAGACAUGAAUUUGAAAAUUUGAGGAGGGGUUGGUGGGAGUAAGAGGAUGAUUCCAUGAUAUUUAAUUUUAAAUAUGCAGGCACUAGCUUUAAGCCAUUAUUAUAAGAAGAUAUAGUGAAGAGUAAUAUUUCUUUAUAUACUUAUUAUACUUCUUGAUAUCCUAAUAUUAAAACACACUUAUGGUGUUUCUUGACUAUAAGGUAGAAUCAAUUGAAAUAUUCAAUUUUUGAAAGGAGAAAGGAGUAAACUAGUGGUAGUUUAAUUAUAAAAUGUAGUACUAUCACAACUACAAUGAUUGUAACAUAAAGCAAAAGUAGAAUAUUCUACACGUCACGACAAUUUUCCAAAGGACAUAAACCAAUUAAUUAGUUUGAAGAAGUUGCAUCCCAACUUCCUCUGUAUCUUACAUUAUAACAUGAAUAGUCUUAACUCAUAUCAUGGAAGAAAACUUUGUGCAUGGUUCUAUUAUGGUUAAUGAGUGGCUCUGAUAUUUACACCAAGCCAAAUUAGUAUUAAUAGAUUAAGCCAAAAAAAAAAAUUCAUCAUCUUCAUCUGGGUUAUGUUUCUCUUUUGAGAUUUCUUCCCAAUUGAAUUCAUUGUAAAGAGGGGAAAUUCGAGUAGGACUAGCAGGUGCACUGUAAAACAACGUGGCAGCACGUGGAGGACUUGACGGACCACUCAUGUACGGAGUAGUAUAACCACUGUCGAUGUUGAAAUCCACAUGAAGAAAACUGCCAUAAGAAUACUUGAAAUCAGUUCAAUACGAAGAAAUACGAAAUCAGUUCAUACUAAGAAAUACGAAAUCAGUUCAAUAAUAGGAAGAAAUCAGUUCAUAUACUUACAUCUGGACGAGGGCAUCUGAAAAAUCUUCUUCCGGGAUUAGAUGUAGUACUCGAAAUCAGUGUUUUGACCACUAAACCACAAGCACAUUUUCUUUGAGACGAAUAACUAUUUUGUGACAUUUUCUGAAAAGAAAAAUCAGAGGUGAACGAAAGAGAUGGUGGAAAGAACAAUCAGAAGGAAGAGAAAUGAAGAACAAUGGAGGAGAAGUUAAAGAGUUAUAUGGAAAAUUUGAGAGAAUGGGUAAAAGGGGAAUGGGCUAUCCUCUAGAGGGGUCGGGGGCAAGUCGGGGCAUUGGGUUAAAAAUAGGGAAUAAGGUUUUAGAAAAAAAAUUCCGGUAAUUUGGAUCAAUUUUGGGGAUUCCAUCAAAUGAGAGGUAAUUUUGGUGAAAUUAGUAAUGGGAAGGAUAAAUUUAACUUCAUUUUAACGGCAAGGAUAAAGUCAAACUAUAAACGAAAGUUGAGAGGUAUUUUUGACCCUUUUCCCUUAAAAAAAUAGUAGAAGAUCGUUACUGCCCCUUUUUUAAAAUUAUACUUCUUAUCAAUUCCAAUUUUUCUUUUAACAAUUUAUUUCUAGUUUUACAAUUACUAGAAGCGAAAAGCUUCUUCUUCUUUUUUGGCUACGUUUUUUACGUUAUUUUUAGAAAGAUUAUAAUUAAAUAAUUGGAGCGGAUCAAUAAAAUAAUUAAAAUAGAUAUCUUAUUAUUUCUUUAAAAAUAGUUUAAGAUAAAAUUUAUUGAAAAAAUUAUUUAAAUUGAUUGAGUGACUUUCUAAGUGAAAUAUAAAUAGUUGGGUGACUUUUUAAAUAAAAACAUCAAUAGUUGGAUGACUUUUGAGUUAUAAAACAAAGUUGAGUGACUUUCUAAGUAAACAACUUAAAGUUGAGUGAUUUUUUAAGUAAACAACUCAAAAUUGAGUGAGCAUCUGAGAUAUUAACUCAUUUCUCAUGUGUACUUGAAUCGCAAAAAGAUUUAUAGAAAUGAGCAGACUUUUAGGCACUACUAGGAUUUGGAAAUGAAAUGCUUUUUCUCUGAUAACGAGUUACUUGUUCAAUGGGGAUAGAGAAUGGUGCGUUGGAUUUUAAGCUUUUAAGUUUAUUUACUGAUAUUCUAACUCCGCCUCUGAUUAACGGUUGACCCCUCUAGAUGAAGAGGAUGAUUGUAGGUGAGGUGGACUAGUUUGGCGUUAAAUUUCAGUUCUAUAGUCUCUUGAUUAAAUAUAUCACGUGUAUAUAUUGUGUAUAUCACUGAGCAUACCCAUAUUUUCAUGGAUAUUUGUGUAUGAUAUACAUGAUAUAUAGGAGAUACAAGGGGGAUAUACAUAGAUGGAGUCGUUUUCAACCUCAAGUUUUUAAUUUGAAAAUCAGCUCAAAUUCACCUCAAAUAGUCUCCAAACAAUUUGAAAAUUGAUAUUCAAGCUCUUAAAAUAUUAAGUAAAAUCCAUAAAAUUUUCUUCUUUUUUUGGGUACUAAAGAUGAAACUUCAUUAACUAAACAGGAAUGUUACAGGGAGUGUGCACAGACCUAUUUGGUAAAUGGUAAUACAAUACAUUUUCACAUACCGAUCUUAUUAAGUUAUGCAACUGGAGUAGAGUCGCUUAUAGAAUGCCGACGACUAUUUUCCACUUAGUAAGUAAAGGGGAGAGGGAAGCCAGGCUUAGCGAGUUUUAUAAGGCCGACCACUACAUGAGCCGCUGGUGGAGACUGGAGUAGUUAACACUAACUACCAUUCUAAGCAUAACUUUGAUAAUCUCCAUUUUCCAUGUAAAAGGCCAAAGGCAAAUUACUCAAACAGCUUAGAAUAUCUUGCCUAUAAUCUUUCCACCAAUUCAUGAAGCUACUCUGAGGCUGGAAAAUCUCAGAGGAUACUGAAUAGCUCCAUAUCAUAUUCAUUACAUAUCCCCCAAAUUUAACCAAAUACGCCGUUGCAUUUUCCUUCUCUUCUAGACUGCCUUCUCUCAGUCUUUUGGAAUUUAUAAUAGCUUCCUCCACAUAUGCCCAAAAGCAAGAAUCUUCGGUGAGGUUAACGGACUUCCUUCUAUAGUUACCACUUCCAGACGGGUUGUCUUCUUUCCUCCAUUCCUCCAACUUUUUAUAGUGCUCGGAUCUUCCAAGAUUUACAUAGUCUGUGUCCCUGAUUUCAUAUAGUAUUCAGCUAUGUCGAGUGGCUCGACCAUCCUUCUAUAGUUUUGUCCCUGAAUACAGCCAACGAGUACGAAAAGCUGCCUUUUUGCUUUGUGGCAUUUCCUCUACUUCUGCAACCUUUGUUUUCCAGUACCUAUUGAGGAUUCUUUGGUGCUUGACAAUUUCUUGUCUGCUUUUGACAGCAUCCC
rnacentral:lncRNA from 1 species